rnacentral:lncRNA from 1 species
CACCAACAGGGUGUUGUUUUUGAGUUUUUUUUAGUUGACUUAAAAAUGAAAAUACUGUUAUCAUUUACUCACCAUCAAAUUAUUCCAAACCUGAGUGUGAAUUAGUUUCUUCUGUUGAACACAAAAGACGAUACUUUGAAGAAUGCUGGCAAGCAAAAAAUUUACGGUAUAGCCGCUGACUGCCAAAGUAUUUUGUUCCAUACUAUGGAAGUCAAUGGCUACCAUCAACUUUUUGCAUGUAAAGAUGCAAUGUUUAUGUGCAUGAAUACACAUGUGCUGUCUUUCUCUUUGCUUGCCUGUAAUUGCGGCGUUUGGGAGAGAGGAAGUUGAGUAUUAUGUCAGAAUACAUACUUGGUUCCUCUGUUGUCAACAGCUCCAGACAGGUGGUGUUCUCCCCAUCAACAGCAGACAUCCGAGGCUCCUAACCCUCUUACAGCCCUGGAAGGAGCUCCAAACAACCUCCAGAUGUUUCUUCAGCACUUCCUUUAAGACUUUCAUUUGUUUGCCAUCUCAGUUUGAGGUGAGUUUGAGUUCUCCACCCACUCCUUCAGACACCGCUGAGCAUCAUUACUCUGUUUACUCGAAGGGAAAAAAAGGAACAUAUUCUAUUUAUCACCUUGGAAUAAGUGAACCAAAACAGCUUGACCAACAAGCUCAUUGCUCAAACUUUAGGGAAUAUCCAAUUAAGUGUAUACCUAGUGUUCUGUGUUUAGUGCUUGUUGUAGAGGAAAACAUCAUCUCCUCUGGGUCCCGGGAUUCUCUCUAGAAUUGUUUUUCAGCAUCUCACAGGAGGAGUGCAGCAUGAUUGGGCAUCUUCUUUACCAAAAUUGGGGCGUGUUGGUACAUGCCCUGAUUUUAGGCUCUCAGUCUCCAUUCAGGAUCCCACUGCUGUCAUUACCUGAUCUCCUAAAAACAGAGCCACUGAUCAAAGAGUGAAAGAGGAAAGACAACACAACUUUGCAUAUUCAUGGGGAGAAUAUAACAGGGUGGAAAUGGCUGCUGCUCAUCCUGCUAACAAUCAUGUGUGACAUGACUACUCUUUAACUAAGUAAAUUAAAUAUUAUUUCCCUGUAGAUUUCUGAUGACAGUUGGAUGUGUUAUGCUUGACAAACAAAUUAUAUUGUGCUAAGGUGAACUUGUUAAUGAUGCCACUUGCUGAACACAGCAACAUACUGAUUUGAACAAUAUCCUUAAAACACACAAAUUCAAAAAUCAGGAAACACGGGAAUGAUAACAGCUCAGAGACCAGCAAUCUUAAUGAGUUUAUUGCAUGUGUUUGUAUCCACCUCUAUCUGUUCAUCUUUUCUCUGUCAUUUUGUUGUCAUUUUGCUCUAAAGCAUGUGUUUGAAGACAGAUUGCUAAGUUUGUAU